AUUGAACGCUGGCGGCAGGCCUAACACAUGCAAGUCGAGCGAGCGGCGGACGGGUGAGUAAUGUAUGGGGAUCUGCCCGAUAGAGGGGGAUAACUACUGGAAACGGUAGCUAAUACCGCAUACUAUCGGAUGAACCCAUAUGGGAUUAGCUAGUUGGUGGGGUAAAGGCUCACCAAGGCAACGAUCCGUAGCUGGUUUGAGAGGACGACCAGCCACACUGGGACUGAGACACGGCCCAGACUCCUACGGGAGGCAGCAGUGGGGAAUUUUGGACAAUGGGGGAAACCCUGAUCCAGCCAUCCCGCGUGUAUGAAGAAGGCCUUCGGGUUGUAAAGUACUUUCAGCGGGGAGGCGUUACCCGCAGAAGAAGCACCGGCUAACUCCGUGCCAGCCGCCGCGGUAAUAC
rnacentral:rRNA from 1 species